GACGAACGCUGGCGGCGUGCCUAACACAUGCAAGUCGAACGGUAAGGCCAUGCUCUUGUGGGGUUCUCGAGUGGUGAACGGGUGUGUAUAACGCGAAUGUAAUGCCCUUUGUUUCGGGGUAACAUCAGUAAAAAGGAGAUCAUACACGACAGAACAUUCUGUUGCACGGUGGGUUUAGGAAAAUUUCGGAGGUUGUGGAUGGACGCGCGGCUUUUCAGCUUGUUGGUGGGGAAGUGGCUUAACAAGGCGUUGACGGGUAGCCGGCCUGAGAGGGUGACCGGCCACAGAGGGACUGAGAUACGGCCCAGACGCCUACGGGAGGCAGCAGUGGGGAAUAGUGCGCGAUGGGCGGAAGCCUGAUGCAGCAACGCCGCGUGCGGGAUGACGGCCGUCGGGUUGUAAACCGCUUGCGCCUGUGACGAAGCGUGAGUGACGGUAAUGGGUAAAGAAGCACCGGCUAACUACGUG
rnacentral:rRNA from 1 species